rnacentral:rRNA from 1 species
GUGCCAGCAGCCGCGGUAAUACGGAGGGAACUAGCGUUGUUCGGAAUUACUGGGCGUAAAGCGCACGUAGGCGGCUUUGUAAGUUAGAGGUGAAAGCCUGGAGCUCAACUCCAGAAUUGCCUUUAAGACUGCAUCGCUUGAAUCCAGGAGAGGUGAGUGGAAUUCCGAGUGUAGAGGUGAAAUUCGUAGAUAUUCGGAAGAACACCAGUGGCGAAGGCGGCUCACUGGACUGGUAUUGACGCUGAGGUGCGAAAGCGUGGGGAGCAAACAGGAUUAGAUAC